CCGGGCGGAAAACUUUGCCAAUUGCGCAAACCCGGCCAGGGUAAUUCGAAGGGUUCUUCGUAAAGGAAUUUUUUGUUAGUUUUAAAAACUGUGAUGAAUAAGGGGGGGGCAAGUUCUGGUGUCAGCCGCCGCGGUAAAACCAGCACCUCAAGUGGUCAGGAGGAUUAUUGGGCCUAAAGCAUCCGUAGCCGGUUCUGUAAGUUCCCGGUUAAAUCCACUAGCUCAACUAGUGGGCUGCCGGAAAUACUGUAGAACUAGGGAGUGGGAGAGGUAGACGGUACUCGGUAGGAAGGGGUAAAAUCCUUUGAUCCAUUGAUGACCACCUGUGGCGAAGGCGGUUUACCAGAACGCGUUCGACGGUGAGGGAUGAAAGCUGGGGGAGCAAACCGGAUUAGAUACCCGGGUAGUCCCAGCUGUAAACGAUGCAGACUCGGUGAUGCAUAGGCUUGUUGCCAGUGCAGUGCCGCAGGGAAGCCGUUAAGUCUGCC
rnacentral:rRNA from 1 species